CGCGCGCGCCCCGGCGAAGCGAAGUGGUCGUCGGCGCCCGACGGUCGGGGGCGUUCGCCAUGGGCCCGCGCGUGCCGCUCCCCCCGGAGAUCCAGCUGGCCCAGCGCCUGGCCGGGAACGAGCAGGUGACCCGGGACCGGGCGGUGAAGAGGCUCCGGAAAUACAUCGUCGCCAGGACUCAGCGGGCCGCAGGUGGUUUCACUCAUGACGAGCUGCUGAAGGUUUGGAAAGGACUGUUUUACUGCAUGUGGAUGCAGGACAAGGCCCUCCUCCAGGAGGAACUAGGGAGGACCAUUUCCCAGCUCAUCCAUGCUUUUCAGACCACAGAGGCACAGCACCUGUUCCUUCAAACAUUCUGGCAAACCAUGAACCGCGAGUGGACGGGCAUUGACAGACUGCGCCUGGAUAAGUUCUACAUGCUCAUGCGGAUGGUCCUGAACGAGUCCUUGAAGGCCCUGAAGAUGCAGGGGUGGGAAGAAAGGCAGGCGGAACGGCUGCUGGAGCUGCUGACGACAGAGAUCCUGCACCCUGACAGCCAGGCCCCCAGCGGGGUCAAGAGCCACUUCCUUGAGAUCUUCCUGGAGGAGCUGAGCAAAGUGGGCGCCACGGAGCUGACGGCGGACCAGAACCUCAAGUUCAUCGAGCCCUUCUGCACGAUCGCCGCUCAGACUAAGGACUCCCUGGUCUUGCAUAACAUCACUCGGGGCGUCUUUGAAACGAUCGUGGAGCAGGCCCCGUUUGCCAUCGAGGACCUUAUGAAUGAGUUGGAGGCACCAGAGGAGGAGGAGGGGACGCCGGAGGACGAGCGGGAGGAGGACGUGCCGUCCAAGGAGCCACGGAGAGGCUCUCUCCACGGGGCCGCACCUGACACGAGCGAGGAGCCAGCAGGAGAUGGCGAGGACAGCAUGGGCCCCGUCCUCCAGUUUGACUAUGAGGCUGUGGCCAGCAGACUGUUCGCGGCGGCCAGUCAGCAGGACACCCCUUCCCAGAACAGGAAGCGCCUCUACAAAGUGAUCCGGAAGUUGCAGGACCUCGCUGAAGGGCUCUUCCCUGAGGAUGACGUUCCGGAGAAAGCCUGCAGGAACCUGCAGGAAGACAGGCGGGAGAGGAAGACGAAGAAGCGUCUGCCCAAAUCUGCGUUACAGAACAAGGCAGGGAAAGGCGGCGAGGAGGACUCGUGUCCAGACCUGAGCUCCGGAGCUGAGAGGAUGGCGAGGCGGCAGGGCUCGGGGGCUGAGCGCACCGGGCCCCAGGAGCAGCCCGGGGGCCCUGCUGGGAGAGGGGCUCGGAAGAGGCGGCGGCGGCGGCCUCGGGCGGGGGCCAGAGCGAAGGUGACCGAUUGCCAGGACCUGCGGAUGAGGAGGCGGCAGCCGCCACGGAGCGGGAAGUGACCCCGGCAGGCCCCGCACGUGCGGGGAGGCCCUUCCCUGCGGCCCCUCCGUCUCGUGCUGAGAUGGAAUCAUCCCGUGUGGGUCUUCUGCGUGCGGCUUUUUGGUGCGGAUUUUUCUGUGUGCAUCCGUGUUGUCCCACGUCGCCCGGGCCAGGACUCCAUUCCCUGUGUGGCCGAGUAACGUUCCACCGUGUGGAUGCCCAAGUGUCACCUGCUGUCCGAAAGCACAGUGUUCCUGUGAGACCUUUCUUCAGCCGAAACGGCAUAAAGCAAAACAGUUACCGUUAAUUUACGUGGAAAGUUUUUUGGGCGUUUCCAGACCCCAAAUCUCUUGUGAUUCUACUCCCCGGGACUUACUUUGCUAAUGGAGACCCAAAAUCAGUCGUGAUCGAGCCCAGGUGCUCACGGACACAGCUCAGAGCCCUGGCAGCUGGCGGCUGACGCGGGUCCUGGGAAGGAGGUUGGCGGGGCCGCGCCGGCUGCUGGGGUUCGCGCCGCCUCUGUUACAGCUCGCUGCGGAACCAGUGCUGGACGCUCUUCCCGCUUUUUGUCUUUUUUUCCCUACACGCAGAAGUCUUCAGAUUGAGUCUGAUUAGCAAGAACUGGUACUGACGUAGGUGUUUCAUAAAAGCGAAGCGGAGGAUGCCUCCACCGCAUUUCCGUUAACCGUUUGUGCGCGGGGCGCUUGUGACCGCUAGUGCCGCUGUAGACACGCACGAGCUUCUGCGGGGACCCGCUCUCGCUCCUCGGUGCGUACCCAAGGGACGGAAUUGCUGGGCCGGGCGGUAGGUGACUCCUUGACCUGCGUGAAGAUCCGCCAGGCUUCUCACAGUCGCCACACCUCCUGAUGUUCCCACCUCUGGACGGGGCGCAGCUUUAGGCGGGCGCUCCCUGGUGCCGCUUGACCUGUGAGCCUGUGGCGUGCCCUUGGCGCCACGGCGCCAUGGCUGAUCAGAGCGGACUGGCGGCCUUGAGGGUGCCUUGCGGCUGCAGAGAACCCACCUGGCCCCUGUGCGGGGGUGCGCUCCGGACCGUCUCACCCCUGCCCCUGCCUGGUCCCGCUUGGACCUGAGUGGCUCAGCCGUCCACCUGUGUGCUGUUGGGCAGGAGACAGUCACUCUGAGCCUUCACUGACCUAUCUGUGAAAUGGGGGUAACAUGGCCGGGCUGGGGAUUAUAUUGCUGUUUUUUCCAAGGCAGCCUGAAACUUACAGAGGAGUCACAAACGCGAUGAGCGUUUUUCACCCAAACCGCUUGAGAGUUGUGUGCUGACUUGAUGCGUAUCACCCGGAAUACUUUAGGUGCAUUUUCUGCAACCAGCGUUCUCUUAACCACAGCACCGUCAUCGAGUCAGAAUUAGCAUGGGCCCCUCUGUGCCAUCGAAGCCUCCGGUCUGUUCAGCGAUGCCCUCUGCAGCCACGAGACCCCAUCUGGAGUCACCCGCGUCUGGUUCUCGUUUCUCUUCAGCUUCCUCUGAACGAGACCAGGUCCUCCGCCCUUGUGUACCAUCCAGGACCUGGAUGUCGGUGGAUCUCAGGCUGGCGAUUCCGUACAUCGUCCCCACUGCGGGUGACUGGUGGUCCCUCGCGUCUAGACUCGGGUCACCCCUCUCGGCAGGAAUCGGAAACAGUGCUCGUUCUCCCCGUGUCCUGCCCGGGCCUCCGCUUUCCACCUGCCCUGGUGCGGAGGCACCUGCUUGUGAAUGUGGCCCCUUCCCUUGGUUGCUAACGGUGUGUGUGGCAAGGGCCUCCGCGGCCCCCAAACGGAGCUUCUCGCCAAACUUCAUUUACUCGCUGAUUGACGUACAUCGGUGGCUCCUGGUUUCCUGUUUAUCUUGUGGGUUGUAAUCUGUCCCUGCCACUUAUUCUAAUAGCAUGUCCCGUUUGGGCCAGUGGGAGACUUGAGGCUGGCUUCUGCUCCCCGUAAGGAGCCCCCACCACCCCUCACCUCUGUCACAGUAAGAGUCCUCAGCCCUGGGACUGGCCGCUUCUCCACGGAGCACUGACUCGAUUGACGGUACAGCCCUGCCCGGCUCGGGAGGAGCUGGUGUGGACGAGGGCCUACUGGAGUCCCUUCAUCUUGUGUUCUGCCACCGCGUCACUGAGACGUACCUCACGCGGCGUUCAGUUCUCCUGCUUAAAGUGUCCUGUCCGGGGGUUCUUCAGGUAUCCGCAGGGGCGUGCCUCCGUCACCACGGGCCAGCAUGGGACAUUUGUACCCAUCCCCCCAAAGAAACUCCAUAGUGGGGGGCCUCUUAACUUGGAGAAAGCCUGUGUGAGGCUUCUGGACCGGCAGGAGCCCCCGCCAAGAGGUGGUGAUGGGUUAUUGCUCACAAGGCUAAUAAAUGAAUUUACAGUUUUCUCGAA